rnacentral:rRNA from 1 species
GUGAGAAUUGCGGCAGCUUACACAUGCAGUCGAGCGCCCCCUCGGGGGAGCGGCAGACGGGUGAGUAAUGCAUGGGAAUCUACCUAGCUCUACGGAAUAACUCAGGGAAACUUGAACUAAUACCGUAUACGUCCUUCGGGAGAAAGAUUUAUCGGAGUUAGAUGAGCCCAUGUCUGAUUAGCUAGUUGGUGAGGUAAAGGCUCACCAAGGCGACGAUCAGUAGCUGGUCUGAGAGGAUGAUCAGCCACACUGGGACUGAGACACGGCCCAGACUCCUACGGGAGGCAGCAGUGGGGAAUAUUGGACAAUGGGCGCAAGCCUGAUCCAGCCAUGCCGCGUGAGUGAUGAAGGCCCUAGGGUUGUAAAGCUCUUUCACCGGUGAAGAUAAUGACGGUAACCGGAGAAGAAGCCCCGGCUAACUUCGUGCCAGCAGCCGCGGUAAU